rnacentral:rRNA from 1 species
GAAACGACUGCUAAGACUGGAUAGGAGACAAGAAGGCAUCUUCUUGUUUUUAAAAGACCUAGCAAUAGGUAUGCUUAGGGAGGAGCUUGCGUCACAUUAGUUAGUUGGUGGGGCAAAGGCCUACCAAGACUAUGAUGUGUAGCCGGGCUGAGAGGUUGAACGGCCACAUUGGGACUGAGACACGGCCCAAACUCCUACGGGAGGCAGCAGUAGGGAAUUUUCGGCAAUGGAGGAAACUCUGACCGAGCAACGCCGCGUGAACGAUGAAGUAUUUCGGUACGUAAAGUUCUUUUAUUAGGGAAGAAUAAAUGAUGGAAAAAUCAUUCUGACGGUACCUAAUGAAUAAGCCCCGGCUAACUAUGUGCCAGCAGCCGCGGUAAUACAUAGGGGGCAAGCGUUAUCCGGAAUUAUUGGGCGUAAAGGGUGCGUAGGCGGUUAAAUAAGUUUAUGGUCUAAGUGCAAUGCUCAACAUUGUGAUGCUAUAAAAACUGUUUAGCUAGAGUAAGAUAGAGGCAAGUGGAAUUCCAUGUGUAGUGGUAAAAUGCGUAAAUAUAUGGAGGAACACCAGUAGCGAAGGCGGCUUGCUGGGUCUUUACUGACGCUGAGGCACGAAAGCGUGGGGAGCAAACAGGAUUAGAUACCCUGGUAGUCCACGCCGUAAACGAUGAGUACUAAACGUUGGGUAAAACCAGUGUUGAAGUUAACACAUUAAGUACUCCGCCUGAGUAGUACGUACGCAAGUAUGAAACUUAAAGGAAUUGACGGGACUCCGCACAAGCGGUGGAUCAUGUUGUUUAAUUCGAAGGUACCCGAAAAACCUCACCAGGUCUUGACAUGCUUCUGCAAAGCUGUAGAAACACAGUGGAGGUUAUCAGUUGCACAGGUGGUGCAUGGUUGUCGUCAGCUCGUGUCGUGAGAUGUUGGGUUAAGUCCCGCAACGAGCGCAACCCUUAUUGUUAGUUACCAGCACGUAAUGGUGGGGACUUUAGCAAGACUGCCAGUGAUAAAUUGGAGGAAGGUGGGGACGACGUCAAAUCAUCAUGCCCCUUAUGACCUGGGCUACAAACGUGAUACAAUGGCUGUUACAAAGGGUAGCUGAAGCGCAAGUUUUUGGCGAAUCUCAAAAAAACAGUCUCAGUUCGGAUUGAAGUCUGCAACUCGACUUCAUGAAGUUGGAAUCGCUAGUAAUCGCGAAUCAGCAUGUCGCGGUGAAUACGUUCUCGGGGUUUGUACACACCGCCCGUCAA